CUCGUCUAGCCCAAUAUUGCACUAAAGGAGCCUAAUGUUACUCGUCCAAUGAGGGGUUCUGGUAGGUCCAUGUACGUUUCGUUAUUUUGUUUUCCGUGUGAAAACGGAGAAUGUAAAAACGGAAAACGGCGGAUAAUUUGUUGUUUUUCGUUUCUAAAUUUGAAAAAAGUAAAUCCGAAAUCGACAUCUUUUCUCAUUUAUAGUGUCAGAAUUGGACAUGGAAUAAGGGAAAAAACAAAUAACAGCACAGUUUAUUACAUUUUUUAUUUCCGUUUUUCAUUUUGUUCAUACCUGGAAGUACCCACCCCCUCAUAGAAUAUUCACAAAGCUUAGGGUGGGGUGUUUACAGCCUAGGUUGGCAGUGCAAAGAAAGUAUUAGACUGUAGGACAGGAAGAUACAAAUACUCAUGUUAGCUAAGAUACAGAACUUGUUAUGAAGUUAGCAUGUAAAUAGAACAAACUCAACAACAACUUAAAAAAGUUGGCUUGUACUUGCUAGCGGGCUGGCUAUUGGCUAGCUAGCGGGCUGGCUAUUGACUAGCUAGCCCUACCUGGUUACUGGCUAUAGUCAUGCUAGCUAGUAGUAGGUAGUGGAAUUAAGUUAGUCCCUCAACCUUUUACAAGAUGCUGCAGAAAGUUCAUAUUUCUCUAUUACUCUCUGUUGCUAACUUAGCUAGAUCUUCUGUCGGCUGAUAGUGUUUAUUGGCUGAGAAAUAAUGAACAGCAGUUCAGCAGUUCACUGUAAAUGGUUACCUAUCUGGCACUUUGCAUAGCUAACUUAGCUUUUACUAAUUCAUACGAUAAUAUCCAAUUAAGCGAUAGACAGUUCUGGUGUGUGUGUGUGUGUAUAUAUAUAUAUGUCUCUCUGUGUGUGAGUUCUGAAUGUUACCGCAGGAGAAAAGCACAGUAUGGCAUCUGAGCUGAUCAUCAUGAACUUCAUGUAGAUCCAUCAUACAGACCUGAGCCCUAGGACCAUGCCUCAGGACUACCUGGCAUGAUGACUCCUUGCUGUCCACAGUCCACCUGGCCGUGCUGCUGCUCCAGUUUCAACUGUUCUGCCUGCGGCUAUGGAACCCUGACCUGUUCACCGGACGUGCUUGUUGCACCCUCGACAACUACUAUGAUUAUUAUUAUUUGACCAUGCUGGUCAUUUAUGAACAUUUCAACAUCUUGACCAUGUUCUGUUAUAAUAUCCACCCGGCACAGCCAGAAGAGGACUGGCCACCCCUCAUAGCCUGGUUCCUCUCUAGGUUUCUUCCUAGGUUUUUGGCCUUUCUAGGGAGUUUUUCCUAGGGAGUUUUUCCUAGCCACCGUGCUUCUUUCACAUGCAUUGCUUGCUGUUUGGGGUUUUAGGCUGGGUUUCUGUACAGCACUUUGAGAUAUCAGCUGAUGUACGAAGGGCUAUAUAAAUACAUUUGAUUUGAUUUGAUGUAGGCUUAAAUAAGGAGAUAUUUAUCUCCUUUUCAGCACCAAUUGGUAGAUAAAAAAAAAAAACUCUGAUUUUGUAUACUAUUUAGAGUUAAGUAAGAAUUUAUCAAUAAUAAAAAGACAGGUUUGGAGAGCCAUUAUGCACAAAAUAUAUUGGUGAAUCAAAAAUACAGUGGUUUGAUUCAUCCUGAUGGUUGCCAUAUUCAACUGAUCAAUCCAUGUAAUAUUGGAAGGUGAGAAAAGCGUACAAUAGGGGUUUAACCAGUAGUCCUAUAAAUCUACCUUAAUAUCUACCCUCACUAAUGAUGGAACUGUGAUGACAACGGUCCGGGUCCAGUAGUCGUGGACGUAUGGUCUGCGUUCCAUACUGAUUAAAAUAGGCUACGUAUCCCAAAUUAUUGCAUAUACAGUACCAGUCAAAAGUUUGGACACGACCUACUCAUUCCAGGGUUUUUCUUUAUUUUUACUAUUUUCUACAUCGUAGAAUUAUAGUGAAGACAUCAAAACCAUGAAAUAACACAUAUGGAAUCAUGUAGCAACCAAAAAAAUUGUUCAACAAAUGAAAAUAUAUUUUAUAUAUGAGAUUCUUCAAAGUAGCCACCCUUUGCCAUGAUGACAGCUUUGCACACUCUUUGAAUUCUCUCAACCAGCUUCAUGAGGUAGUCACCUGGAAUGCAUUUCAGUUAACAGGUGUGCCUUGUUAAAAGUUAAUUUUUGCAAUUUCUUUCCUUCUUAAUAUGUUUGAGCCAAUCAGUUGUGUUGUGACAAGGUAGGGGUGGUAUACAGAAGAUAGCCCUAUUUGGUAAAAGACCAAAUCCAUAGUACGCCAAGAGCAGCUGAAAUAAGCAAAGAGAAACAAUAUUCUACCAUUACUUUAAGCCAUGGUCAGCCAAUCUGGAAAAGUUCAAGAACUUUGAAUUUAAUUGAGUUUAUUUUGGGUAACAUACAUAUACAACAAAAUGUACAAUGUGAACCCAGAGGAUAUCACUUGAAAGUAUUAAUUAAAACACUUGUUUCCAAAGUGGUCCUCGAUGGUAAAAACAACGACACAUAUAAUGAUUAAAAGGCAAGACAAAAUUAGAAACCACCAUAAAUACAUUCAUUCAUAUUGACAUCCUAAAAUUGCCACUAAUCACUUCUCCCUAACCUUAAAAAUCAACCAUAUUAAUUUCACAUUAAAACAAUCUAUUAAUUGCACAUCAUACAUAUCUUUCAGAUAAUACACCUGACCAGCAGUAGGGGGGCGCAAGGGGCAGUGGAGUGGUUUCUCUUACUUAGACAACCUUGUCCAAAUGAAAACCUUUUGCCUGCUUUUUAACAUCUAUUUUUACUUUAUCUUUGCUUGAUCUCCAAGGGGAGGUUAUUCCAUAGACAAAUGCCUGUUUAGAAAAAAAAACCGUGCUCCUCACAGUAGUGUUUACUCUUGGGAUUUUACAAGACAUAACACUAGCUCUGGUAUUGUAACUGUGUUGGUUAUAGACCAUGUCAAUGUGUUUUUUUCAUAUAACCUGGGGCACGAUCGUUUAAGAUGUCAAACAUAUGAUUAAGUUUAAGUUGGUCUACUCUGGACUCCAAAGGCAACAAGCCCACUUCCUGGAACUCCUGUACCCCUAUGUGGGUCUUAGGUGGGUACAUUCAGCAUAUACCUGAUAACAUUAUUUUGCAUGACCUGCAUUCUCUUUUUCAGCUUUUUUGAUAGUCCACUAUACCAAGCAGAGUAGGAAAGUUUCUUCAAGUUCAUUCGCAAAAACCAUGAAGCGCUAUGAUGAAACUGGCUCUCAUGAGGACCACCACAGGAAAGGAAGACCCAGAGUUACCUCUGCUGCAGAGGAUAAGUUCAUUAGAGUUAACUGCACCUCAGAUUGCAGCCCAAAUAAAUGCUUCACAAAGUAACAGACACAUCUCAACAUCAACUGUUCAGAGAAGACUGUGUGAUUUGCUGCAAAGAAACCACUACUAAAGAACACCAAUAAGAAGAAUUGACUUGCUUGGGCCAAGAAACACAAGCAAUGGACAUUAGACCGGUGGAAAUCUGUCCUUUGGUCUGACACUUUUUUGGUUACUACAUGAUUCCAUGUGUGUUAUUUCAUAGUUUUGCCACGUGACUGUUUUACUCCUGUCCAGAUCUAAAACGUGUUUUUUUUAUAUUUAGAAUCCCUUUAUUAAAAUGACUUCCUCUGUUAGCUAGCUCUUAUCUGUAGCUCUUAUCAAGUUGUACAUUACAAUAUGAUAGAGAAUGGUGUUAUUUCUAUCGAGACUUAAUAAAGUAGAUGUUAUUCCACUUGGAACAGGAUGGGUUUGCUCGACCUCAUUCAUCGUUUCAGAAUGAAUAAGGUCAGAAAACAGUUUUAUUGAACUAUGACAACAGGAGAAAUUCUACCCCCCCCCCAAGUCCAGUGAAUACUCUACGAGUGGCGUGUACUUCCCAGUAUGAACAAAACUAAAAUCCAAAAAUGUAAUAGAUUGUCAAUUUUCAUUUGUUAUUCCAUGUAAAAAUAUUUUUUUUUACAAUAAAUGAGAAAAUAAAAUGAUUUCGGAUUUUGGUUUUGCAAAUUCAGUAACGAAAAACGAGAAGUUUUCCACUCUCUGUCAUGACUUCUGUCGAAGUCGAUGCCCCUCCUUGUUUGGGUGGUGCUCGUCGGUCGACGUCACCGGUCUUCUAGCCAUCAUUGAUCCAUUUUUCAUUUUUCAUUGGUUUUGUCUUGUCUUCCUACACACCUGGUUCCAAUCCCAUUCAUUACAUGCUGUGUAUUUAACCCUCUGUUUCCCCUCAUGUCCUUGUCGGAGAUUGUUUGUGGUUAUGUGUUCGUGUAUUUUGUAUAGGUGUGCGACGGGUAUGUUUACCCAUGUUCAUUUUUAUGUACAUUGG
rnacentral:lncRNA from 1 species